AUGAACGCUAGCUACAGGCUUAACACAUGCAAGUCGAGGGGCAGCAUGGUCUUAGCUUGCUAAGGCCGAUGGCGACCGGCGCACGGGUGAGUAACGCGUAUCCAACCUGCCUUACACUCUUGGACAGCCUUCUGAAAGGGAGAUUAAUACAAGAUGUUAUCAUGAGUAAGCAUUUUCGCAUGAUUAAAGGUUUACCGGUGUAAGAUGGGGAUGCGUUCCAUUAGAUAGUAGGCGGGGUAACGGCCCACCUAGUCUUCGAUGGAUAGGGGUUCUGAGAGGAAGGUCCCCCACAUUGGAACUGAGACACGGUCCAAACUCCUACGGGAGGCAGCAGUGAGGAAUAUUGGUCAAUGGACGAGAGUCUGAACCAGCCAAGUAGCGUGAAGGAUGAAGGUUCUAUGGAUUGUAAACUUCUUUUAUACGGGAAUAAACGAAUCCACGUGUGGAUUUUUGCAUGUACCGUAUGAAUAAGGAUCGGCUAACUCCGUGCCAGCAGCCGCGGUAAUACGGAGGAUCCGAGCGUUAUCCGGAUUUAUUGGGUUUAAAGGGAGCGUAGAUGGGUUGUUAAGUCAGUUGUGAAAGUUUGCGGCUCAACCGUAAAAUUGCAAUUGAUACUGGCAGUCUUGAGUACAGUUGAGGUAGGCGGAAUUCGUGGUGUAGCGGUGAAAUGCUUAGAUAUCACGAAGAACUCCGAUUGCGAAGGCAGCUUACUAACCUGUAACUGACAUUGAUGCUCGAAAGUGUGGGUAUCAAACAGGAUUAGAUACCCUGGUAGUCCACACGGUAAACGAUGAAUACUCGCUGUAGGCGAUAUACAGUCUGCGGCCAAGCGAAAGCAUUAAGUAUUCCACCUGGGGAGUACGCCGGCAACGGUGAAACUCAAAGGAAUUGACGGGGGCCCGCACAAGCGGAGGAACAUGUGGUUUAAUUCGAUGAUACGCGAGGAACCUUACCCGGGCUUAAAUUGCAACCGAAUAUGGCGGAAACGCUAUAGCUAGCAAUAGCGGUUGUGAAGGUGCUGCAUGGUUGUCGUCAGCUCGUGCCGUGAGGUGUCGGCUUAAGUGCCAUAACGAGCGCAACCCUUGUCGAUAGUUACUAACAGGUUAUGCUGAGGACUCUGUCGGGACUGCCAUCGUAAGAUGUGAGGAAGGUGGGGAUGACGUCAAAUCAGCACGGCCCUUACGUCCGGGGCUACACACGUGUUACAAUGGGGGGUACAGAGGGCUGCUACCACGCAAGUGGAUGCCAAUCCCAAAAACCUCUCUCAGUUCGGAUUGAAGUCUGCAACCCGACUUCAUGAAGCUGGAUUCGCUAGUAAUCGCGCAUCAGCCACGGCGCGGUGAAUACGUUCCCGGGCCUUGUACACACCGCCCGUCAAGCCAUGGGAGCCGGGGGUACCUGAAGUGCGUAACCGCAAGGAGCGCCCUAGGGUAAAACUGGUGACUGGGGCU
rnacentral:rRNA from 1 species